CCUACGGGAGGCUGCAGUGGGGAAUAUUGGGCAAUGGACGCAAGUCUGACCCAGCAACGCCGCGUGAAGGAAGAAGGCUUUCGGGUUGUAAACUUCUUUUGUCAGGGAAGAGCAGAAGACGGUACCUGACGAAUAAGCCACGGCUAACUACGUGCCAGCAGCCGCGGUAAUACGUAGGUGGCAAGCGUUGUCCGGAUUUACUGGGUGUAAAGGGCGUGCAGCCGGGCCGGCAAGUCAGAUGUGAAAUCCACGAGCUUAACUCGUGAACUGCAUUUGAAACUGUUGGUCUUGAGUAUCGGAGAGGUAAUCGGAAUUCCUUGUGUAGCGGUGAAAUGCGUAGAUAUAAGGAAGAACACCAGUGGCGAAGGCGGAUUACUGGACGACAACUGACGGUGAGGCGCGAAAGCGUGGGGAGCAAACAGGA
rnacentral:rRNA from 1 species